rnacentral:rRNA from 1 species
AUUGAACGCUGGCGGCAGGCCUAACACAUGCAAGUCGAGCGGUAGAGAGAAGCUUGCUUCUCUUGAGAGCGGCGGACGGGUGAGUAAUGCCUAGGAAUCUGCCUAGUGGUGGGGGAUAACGUUCGGAAACGGACGCUAAUACCGCAUACGUCCUACGGGAGAAAGCGGGGGAUCUUCGGACCUCGCGCCAUUAGAUGAGCCUAGGUCGGAUUAGCUAGUUGGUGAGGUAGUGGCUCACCAAGGCGACGAUCCGUAACUGGUCUGAGAGGAUGAUCAGUCACACUGGAACUGAGACAAGGUCCAGACUCCUACGGGAGGCAGCAGUGGGGAAUAUUGGACAAUGGGCGAAAGCCUGAUCCAGCCAUGCCGCGUGUGUGAAGAAGGUCUUCGGAUUGUAAAGCACUUUAAGUUGGGAGGAAGGGCAGUAACCUAAUACGUUAUUGUUUUGACGUCACCGACAGAAUAAGCACCGGCUAACUUCGUGCCAGCAGCCGCCGUAACAC